rnacentral:rRNA from 1 species
GGCGAACGCUGGCGGCGUGCUUAACACAUGCAAGUCGAACGGAAAGGCCCUGCUUUUGUGGGGUGCUCGAGUGGCGAACGGGUGAGUAACACGUGAGUAACCUGCCCUUGACUUUGGGAUAACUUCAGGAAACUGGGGCUAAUACCGGGUAGGAGCUCCUGCUGCAUGGUGGGGGUUGGAAAGUUUCGGCGGUUGGGGAUGGACUCGCGGCUUAUCAGCUUGUUGGUGGGGUAGUGGCUUACCAAGGCUUUGACGGGUAGCCGGCCUGAGAGGGUGACCGGCCACAUUGGGACUGAGAUACGGCCCAGACUCCUACGGGAGGCAGCAGUGGGGAAUAUUGCACAAUGGGCGGAAGCCUGAUGCAGCAACGCCGCGUGCGGGAUGACGGCCUUCGGGUUGUAAACCGCUUUCGCCUGUGACGAAGCGUGAGUGACGGUAAUGGGUAAAGAAGCACCGGCUAACUACGUG